rnacentral:misc_RNA from 1 species
CCGAGUUAGGGUCUUCCAGGCCCGACCUCCCAACCCUUUGUUGACUAUACCAUGUUGCUUUUGGUAGGCCCGCCUUUGCCGCCGGGGACUUUCAUGCCUCUGGUCAGUGCCUGCCAGUAGCCUUAUUAAAUUCUUUUAUAAUUGUGUCGUCUGAGUAUAGAUAUAAAUCGUUUA